GAUGAACGCUGGCGGCGUGCCUAAUACAUGCAAGUCGAACGCUGGAGAUCUAGCUUGCUAGAUCGAAGGAGUGGCGAACGGGUGAGUAAUACAUAAGCAACCUACCCACGAAGACUGGGAUAAUCUCUGGAAACGGGGACUAAUACCGGAUAGGUAAUCGGAAGGCAUCUUCUGAUUAUUAAAGGUUAAAAACACUGGUGGAUGGGCUUAUGGCGCAUUAGUUAGUUGGUGAGGUAACGGCCCACCAAGACGAUGAUGCGUAGCCGGCCUGAGAGGGUGAACGGCCACAUUGGGACUGAGACACGGCCCAGACUCCUACGGGAGGCAGCAGUAGGGAAUUUUCGGCAAUGGGGGAAACCCUGACCGAGCAACGCCGCGUGAGUGAUGACGGCCUUCGGGUUGUAAAGCUCUGUUGUAAGGGAAGAACGGUAGAUAGAGAAUAUCUAAAUGACGGUACCUUACCAGAAAGCCACGGCUAACUACGUGCCAGCAGCCGCGGUAAUACGUAGGUGGCGAGCGUUAUCCGGAAUUAUUGGGCGUAAAGGGUGCGUAGGCGGCCUGUUAAGUAAGUGGUUAAAUUGUUGGGCUCAACCCAAUCCAGCCACUUAAACUGGCAGGCUAGAGUAUUGGAGAGGCAAGUGGAAUUCCAUGUGUAGCGGUAAAAUGCGUAGAUAUAUGGAGGAACACCAGUGGCGAAGGCGGCUUGCUAGCCAAAGACUGACGCUCAUGCACGAAAGCGUGGGGAGCAAAUAGG
rnacentral:rRNA from 1 species